CUUAAGAUGCUAAAGAGGUGCUAUCUACAGCUGUUUUGCUAGAGUUUAUCUCUCUUGCCAAAGACACUAUUGGAAAAACUAAAAGAAGAAGUUGGAGAUCUGCCAGUUAGCUAUCGAAGUGAUUAACUACAGGAUGCUUUUGCUCAUGGUGUGUGCUGCAGAAGACAGAGCCUGGGAAGUGACUACACCCUUUGAAGGAGGCCAGAAUGUCGUGAAUGAAUGCAGGUUCCGCUACUGGGAUGUUUAAAGUUGCAUAAAUAGCUGGAAUUUGUAGCUCAUACUGCUCUUCCACCUGUUGGCACUGUGACAGGACUAUCAUUCUCCUUCACUGACCUCGAGAAGAGUACAGUGCUACAUCACGAAUGAAUGUUCCACCUUCCCUCCCUGACCCUGUCUGUCCCCCAUAGAAUCCAUGCAUGCUCUGUAAAAGGUGCCACUCCAGGCAUAGCACUUGAAGACUGUCAGCUGUACCAUGGAAACACUUCCCUUUGUGGAAAUCUCACAUGAUCUCCAUAGUCAUGUUACAUACUGAGUUCUUUAAGA